rnacentral:rRNA from 1 species
AGUGAACGCUGGCGGUAGGCCUAACACAUGCAAGUCGAACGGCAGCACAGUAAGAGCUUGCUCUUACGGGUGGCGAGUGGCGGACGGGUGAGGAAUACAUCGGAAUCUACUUUUUCGUGGGGGAUAACGUAGGGAAACUUACGCUAAUACCGCAUACGACCUACGGGUGAAAGCAGGGGAACUUCGGACCUUGCGCGAUUGAAUGAGCCGAUGUCGGUUUAGCUAGUUGGCGGGGUAAAGGCCCACCAAGGCGACGAUCCGUAGCUGGUCUGAGAGGAUGGUCAGCCACACUGGAACUGAGACACGGUCCAGACUCCUACGGGAGGCAGCAGUGGGGAAUAUUGGACAAUGGGCGCAAGCCUGAUCCAGCCAUACCGCGUGGGUGAAGAAGGCCUUCGGGUUGUAAAGCCCUUUUGUUGGGGAAGAAAAGCAGCAGGUUAAUACCCCGCUGUUCUGACGGUACCCAAAGAAUAAGCACCGGCUAACUUCGUG